rnacentral:rRNA from 1 species
UACAGAGGGUGCGAGCGUUAAUCGGAAUUACUGGGCGUAAAGCGCGUGUAGGCGGCUUUGCAAGUCGGGUGUGAAAUCCCCAGGCUUAACCUGGGAACUGCAUUCGAGACUGCGUUGCUAGAGUAUGGGAGAGGGAAGUGGAAUUUCCGGUGUAGCGGUGAAAUGCGUAGAUAUCGGAAGGAACAUCAGUGGCGAAAGCGACUUCCUGGACCAAUACUGACGCUCAUGUGCGAAAGCGUGGGGAGCAAACAGG